rnacentral:rRNA from 1 species
CCUACGGGAGGCAGCAGUCGAGAAUCAUUCACAAUGGGGGAAACCCUGAUGGUGCGACGCCGCGUGGGGGAAUGAAGGUCUUCGGAUUGUAAACCCCUGUCAUGUGGGAGCAAAUUAAAAAGAUAGUACCACAAGAGGAAGAGACGGCUAACUCUGUGCCAGCAUCCGCGGUAAUACAGGGGUCUCAAGCGUUGUUCGGAAUCACUGGGCGUAAAGCGUGCGUAGGCUGUUUCGUAAGUCGUGUGUGAAAGGCGCGGGCGGAACCCGCGGACGGAACAUGAUACUGCGAGACUAGAGUAAUGGAGGGGGAACCGGAAUUCUCGGUGUAGCAGUGAAAUGCGUAGAUAUCGAGAGGAACACUCGUGGCGAAGGCGGGUUCCUGGACAUUAACUGACGCUGAGGCACGAAGGCCAGGGGAGCGAAAGGGAUUAGAUACCCGUGUAGUC